GGGAAACUACUAUGGGGGCCUGCCUCAGGCCCCGAGACAAAUCAAUGGGGCA
rfam:Cricetulus griseus cell line CHO-K1, whole genome shotgun sequence.